AGAAGUGCACGCUAGUCUUUAGGACUAAGCCAUGCAUGUGAUGUUCCGGGAUUUACGAUCCCGCGCUCAGAAUGCUUGGACCGAACUGGUCGCGCCCUCGUUUCACGACGUCGGGUACGAUUCAGACAUCGCGUCCGAUCGAUAUGGGUCGGGUGUCCUUAAACUGCGUUCGGCUCAGUAUAUAACUUAGAAUGAAGGUCGGCGAGCGGUCGCGUUCGUCGGCGGCGUCCUCGCGGCGUCGUCGUCGAGCGCGCGUCCCGUUGGCGCGCGAGCGUCGCGGGCGCGCGAGCGCGACCGUGCGGAUAACCAUGGAAAAGCCAUGGCUAAUACGUGGAUCGGCGGUCUCGGGCGUCCGGCUUCGGCCGCGGCGUCCGACCGUCUACGGAGAGCGCCGUCGCGCGGCGUCCGGGCGACCGGGUGCCGCGCGCGCGGCGCCGCUGAACUACUGCCCGCGCGUUUCGGAGCGAGUUCCGUAGUUGAGCGUAGCGACUCUCGUCGCGACCGAUCGUAGCUGAGUUAUUCAUCAAUUUGUCUGGUGUAUCGAGUACACCAGAGAUGGCUACGGGUAACGGGGAAUCAGGGUUCGAUUCCGGAGAAGGCGCCUGCUACACGGCGACUAACCCUAAGGGGUGCAGCAGGCGCGAAAUUUACCCAAUGAGGGCUUCUCGAGGUAGCGAUGAUAUGUGAUGGUGCGAUCGCUCAUAGUAGGGAUCGCAAUCGGACUGAGAGAACCGUAAAUAACACAUCGAAAGCGAUUGGAGGGCAAGUCUGGUGCCAGCAGCCGCGGUAACUCCAGCUCCAAUGGCGUAUGUUUAUUUUGCUGCGGUUAAAAAGCUCGUAGUGGAACUUCCGUGCUAGGCUGCCGCGCCGCCCGUCGCGGGCGGCGUCGGCGCGCUUAGCAAGUAUGGCCAUCGCAGAUGCCCGCGAGUCCCGCGCGUUGCCUUUUAAAGGGUGACGCGGUCUCGGGUGGGCUCCGCGUAACGAAGGUCGGACUACCUAGAACAAAUUAAAGCGAUUCAAGCNNNNNNNNNNNNNNNNNNNNNNNNNNNNNNNNNNNNNNNNNNNNNNNNNNNNNNNNNNNUAUAAGAGCGCGAGAGGUGAAAUUCAUAGACCGCUCGGAGAGCGGCGACCGCCAACGCUAAGACUUGAUCGCUGCUUGAUUCAAUAACAGGCCGAGCAAUCAAGAACGAAAGUUGGAGGAUCGAAGGCGAUCAGAUACCGCCCUAGUUCCAACCGUAAACCAUGCCGUCUUGGCGUGCGCUAGGAUUAACAGAAUAUCUAGCGAGCGUCUAUAGGGAAACCAAAGUCAUAGGGUUCCGGGGGAAGUAUGGUUGCAAAGCCGAAACUUAAAGGAAUUGACGGAAGGGCACCACCAGGCGUGGAGCUUGCGGCUUAAUUUGACUCAACACGGGAAACUUUACCAGGUCCGUACAUAAGUACGAGAGACAGAUUAAUAGCUCUUUCUCGAUUUUAUGGUUGGUGGUGCAUGGCCGUUCUUAGUUGGUGGAGCGAUUUGUCUGGUUAAUUCCGUUAACGAGCGAGACUCUCCCUUAUUAAAUAGACGCGCGCAUACGCGUUGACGCUACGCGGGUCGGCGGUACCGGCGCGCGCUGGUGCGCGGCGCGCGGCGAUCGGGUCAAACCGGUCGUCCGCGUGUCGUCGUGUCCGGCGUGCGUCCGGCCUCGGCUCGACGUCGUCGUUCGCUGCGCGCGAACGAUUGCGAUCUUCUUAGAAGGACUAGCUAUACAUAGUAGCACGAGUGAGAGCAAUAACAGGUCUGUUAUGCCCUUAGAUGUUCUGGGCUGCACGCGUGCUACAAUGAGUGACGCAACGAGUGUACCCGGACCGAGAGGUUCCCGGGAAAUCUUCGAAAUGUCAUCUCGUAGUUGGGAUCGAGGGUUGAAACGACGCCUCGUGAACCCGGAAUGCCUAGUAAGCUGGACUCACUAGGUCGUGCUGAUUUAGUCCCUGCCCUUUGUACACACCGCCCGUCGCUACUACCGAUUGAGUGGAUUAGUGAGGUCUUUGAACCGCGCGCGCUCGUUCGCGCGCGGAAAGAUGAUCGAACUUGUCUAUUUAGAGGAAGUAAAA
rnacentral:rRNA from 1 species